CAGAAAAUAGUUUAUAUAAAAUUUUAAUUUUGGAAAUUAAAGAUAAAUAAUUUAUUUUUUUUUUCUGA
rnacentral:tRNA from 1 species